UGCAGUUCUGAAACAGCUGACAUUUAAACCUCCAAGAAUGUGUGAAACUGAUUCUGAACACUACUGAGUACUUAUUACACGCUGUGUCAGGCACAGGACUAACAGUGGCUACCAUUUUCUGAACAUUUGCUCUGUGCAAGGCUCUCUUCUAAGCACUUUGCAAGUAAGAAUUUAAUGCACCCAUUUUAUGCAGGAAGUACUAUUAUCCUCAUUUUACAGUUGAGAAAAGUGCUGCACAGAGUUGCAACAACUUGCCCAAUGCAAAGAUGUUUAACAUACCGUCUCUACCCUCAGUCCAGUGUACGGGUAAGUAAAACAAUGCAGUCAGUAAAUGCUGCUAUGUGAUACUACAAAGUUCUGAAGGUGCUCAGAGAGGACCAGUCCUGGAAGGAAAGGUGUGACACUGUCUGGGAGCCUGAAAGGUAGAGGCCAGCGCGAUUGGGCAAGAGGGGAACCUGCAUGUGCAAAGCAACAGGACGACCGACUGCGGAUCGAACCCAAAGGUCUGGGUCAGACCCGAGCCCAUGCCAAUUACAGCUGGGCGACUGCCGAGGAGGCCCGCGCCUCUCGCAGAUUCCCGCGAGGGCGGCAGUGGGGCGGGGCCGGGGCCGAGGCUCAGCGUCCGCUCGAGCUCUGGCCACAAAGAACCCCCUCGCCUUGGCGCACGUGACCGGCAAGCGGCAAACUGCGCUCCCGAUAGGCUGAAAUGCUAAGGCACCGUCUCGGAAGGGAGAGCGAUGAUUGGUGGAAGCGAUAAACGCGUCAGGGGACUAUCGGGAUUGGCUGCCGCCUCCUUUGCUGUAGGGGGGCCGGGCAGGGACUCCUCACCUAGAGAAAUUUUCAGGUAAAAAUGAGUGAGUCAUCUCUCCCCGCUGUUGACUCUUGUGGAGACUUCCCGUCACGUGUGUGUCACUUUACAUAUUUGGAAACGAGACGCCCUUUAAGAGAAUUAUCCAGUCAUCCUCUGCGGCGAGCACCACGCCGUCAGCGAAGUUUCUGAUUGGCUGCUGUGGGGUGGGGCGGGCCUAGAGAGGAGCCCGCGCAGCGUGGGGAGGAGCCCGGCUUCCCCGUCGUUCUCUCUAGCCCAGGCCGGACGGCGCCCCCAGGUGGUCUGCAGGGGUAACGCCUGGCGCUCUUGCCCCGCGGAGUGCGUCCGCUCUUGGCUUAAGUGGCUCCUGGAUCGGAAACUUUUUAACUAGAAAGAGAAAGACCUAGAUUCGAAUAGGAAUCUGCCAUGCCGGAUCAGAGCGCAGGCUCUCAGGGCGGACUGCCUGUGGAAGCUCAGAGCCCAACUGAAUGUGAAUUGAAACCACUCUCCUCGUCCCCGGGUUUCUGGGUACAUGUCCAAAAUGGGUUGGAGGAGUUGGCAGGGGGACUUUUCUCACUGAAGUUUCUCAGAGAUCCAAGCGGAUGAAGAUUCCAUCUUCUUGUGGUGCUACCCUCGCCAUGUGCAACCACCAUGUACUUCCAUGGUUACUGCAUUGGAAGAGGAGAGCCCUGGAGAGUUAAACACUGGCAAUUAGGGAGAGAAUAAAAGAGGAGGAAAGCCAAAAGUAAGAAGUUAUUUUCAGGAAAGGAUAUAUUCCUGGUUUCCAUUCUUGUCACUUGGGUUUUCUUUUCUUCUGAGAAACCAGUAUUCACUUUGCUCUGAAAGGUCAUAUAAAUGAAUUCAGGCACCAAACUGGAUAAAAAUGUUUAGAAUAUUUCUGGAUCAAAUCGCGGAUAUGGAGGUAGAUGAUGCUAAUGAAUAUUGGGAUGCCAGAAUAAGCAGGUGCUGCUCUUGUUGAUGUUACAAGCCAAAUACCCAAGGGAGUCGAUGGAUGCCUUAAAAUUCAAACCAGUACCUUCUUUGGGAUGUCAGAUCUGGAGAAAUUUUUGUCAAGACAGCACAUUUCAACUUGGAUUAGAUACAUUUUAAGCGCUCAAUAGUCACAUGUGGCUGGCGGCUACUACAUUGGACAGUGGUGCUCCAGCAGGUGGCAGUGUGAGCACAUGGCAAGGCCAACGGAGGGCACACGUUCCUGAGGACCAGGACCUGGGAGCUGAUUCUGCACAUCUCUGAAGGUCUCUGAACACAGUCUUCUGUUCUUCAGGUAUCAGAAGCUUCGGUAUCAACAGAAAACCAGGCUGAAGACCUCUCAAGAGUGAGGUGGGAUAUAAGUGCCAAUAUUACUUUACUUAAAUACUCAAUUUGACCACUUAAUGAUUGCAAAUAUUUUUAGUAUAUUCUAGUACAUUUAAACUUUGUUUGCAUUUGGUUAUCAUGUUAUCUAAGGCAGGGAUCUUAAGGUUUUUAUCUGCAGGUUUAGGAGUGCUUUGCCUUUACGAGUUAAUCUUUCUGCUAGAUGUGGGAGUGGAGGCAAUAUGACUUGCUAUGCUGGGAACACACAGAAGAACAGCACUGAUGUCAAGAAGCUCACAUUCUUGUAGGGAGAGAUUGGCACGUAAACAAACUACUACAAAGCAGUGUACCAUACAGAUGGGUGCAGGAGGAGGCCAGCGGGCCCUCGCUGAAGUGUGGUGGAGGGAGGAGGGCCUGCAGGAAACCUGCGCAGAGACAUCUGCUGGACAGACAUUUGUGCGGAGCUCUGGGCCUCCUGCCUGAAGCUAAGGCCCUGUCCUCACAGAAUUUGCAAUCUAGAGGGAAAGAAGGUCCUUAAGUUAAAAAUAUACAAAUAUGUAAACGCACAAAGAAAUAAUAGCAGAUAAUAAUUCGCAUUGUGAAGGAAAAGAGCAGGGUAUAAUGAGAAUGCAACAGAGGUAGAGAAAGCGCUCCCAGAGGGAGUGGCCCUGGAGCUGAGCAGGGAAGACAGCAUUCUCGAAGCAGAGGCUGGUGUGCAUGGAGGGGAGGAAAAGGCUCCGGGUUUGAGAAACUGCAGACUGGCCAGUGUGGCUGGAGCACAGCGAGCAAGUGGGAGAAGGUGAGGGAGCUGAUCGGCAGGGCCUUGCAGGCCACGAUCAGGAGAUGGAUUUCACUCAAGGGUGAUGGGAGGGGAGCCACUGAAGGUUUUAGGAAAGCGGGUGUCAUGAUGGGAUUACUGUGUAGAAAGCAGCCUGGCUGCUUUUUGGAGGAUGGAUUGGAGAGAGGCAAACAGGGAAGUGGAGAGAGCAGUCAGGGGGAUUCUGUCCUGUGGGACAUGGGGGUGACUGGAGUGUGGCUUCUCAAAGGGACUUGAACGAGCAUACACGGUUUGAUUGGAAGACAACCAUGGGCACAGAAUGUCCAAAAUCAGGAGGCAGGAGGAAGCAUGGCAUGGCAGGGGAACUGGCUCUGCAAGGAGCAGAGAGGGAAGGUCCUGGGAGAAGUGCUAGGAGCGCGAGAGGGAGAUAGUGGACAUGAGGUGCUCACAGUGUAUGCCAAAAGCAUAGCAUUUCUCCCAGAGAGUGGAGCUAGUAAGUGUUUAAAGCAGAUCCUUAACAGAUCAAUUUUGCAUAAGGAGCUUUCCGGGGAUGCUAUAAGGAGGCUCAGGAGGAGGAGAGAUUCCAGUUCUGUGGUUAUUGAAAGAGUCCAAGGACUUGAAGGAAUGGAAUUUCCCGAAUAGUUGUCAACUAUAAGUAGUGAUAACUACCACUUAUCAAAUGGUAUGAUAUGAUAUGGCCAAUGCUAGCCACCGUACCAGGUCCUUGACAUCUGUCAUUUCUAAUCUUUGUCACUGGAUCCCCCCCACACCUCCUCAAGGGGAUUGCAGCUGGUAAGAGCACAGGGGAGCAGGAUGCUUUCAACAGCAACACCCUGCCUGCAGCCACGAAGUCUCUCAGUGCUCUGCAGGGUAGUGUUCUGUUGCUAGAAGGAAAUCGCAGUUCUUUGAUGAAGUAGCUUUUCCCAAGGUGAUAGGGCUGAACACAUGGCAGAAGUGGGAUUUGAAACCCUAGUCUCUAAUUCCAAAGACCAUGUUCUUUCCAUUAUCUCAAAUAUUUCUUCAUAGCUCUAGUAAAAUGUAUGGUGGUGCAAUGUAGUUUUUUAUAUGACUAUUUUCCUUUUCCUACUAGAAUGUGAGCUUAUCGAAGACAAGGACUGUCUAUUAUCCAUUGCUGCACCUUUAGUGUCAAGCACAGUGACUGGCACAGAGUGGAUAUACGUUUGUUGACUAAAAGAACCUACAGAAUGGGAUAGCACUUCUUCUAUUAAGAAUCUGAAGUCCUCUUUCAUUCCGUUGCACUUGAGUGCCCUGUCUUUUCCUAAGAAAAGCAGCACAAGGGGAGAGCUACUGGCCCAUGUCUCCAACUUUGUAGCAGAGUCGUCGACCCUGAUGGCUGCAGGGAAUACACCCAGAGGAGGAAGCCCAUGCUCCAUGCUGAGCUGCCUCCAGACUUCCUGCUCACACUUACGCCCAACUUCCCCAAGCCCGUGUGCCCUCAGAUCGAGGUCCUUCACUCUGAAAGCAUCUGUAGGUCUGACAAGUGGAGAAUCAGAGAGUACAGGUUUAUUGAAAGGCUAUAGAUUACAGGCACCUAAUGGGAUCUGACAAUUAUGCACACACAUUACUGCAGAGAAGCGGGGUUGCUGGAAGGAGAUGGUGGUUGUGUAGUCAAUUAAAAUGCAUACUGCAUAGCACCAACAUUUCCCCACAGUGCUAGCUAACAGUAGGUUUUAAUUAUACGGUAAUAAAAAAACGGAGAAACAGCAGUAAAUUACAAUCUGUUUCUGUGAAUAGUCUUAGUCCAAUAGCUAAAAUCUACAAAUUACAUAAAACAAGUAUUUCAAAUUAAAUCACAGAGUGUUUGUAGAGCACCGGUUGUAUAUAAGGUAUUGACAUUUUUUAUUGCCACCUUGCUGUUUAUGGUUAGGUGGUCACUGAGUUGGGGAUGGAGUGGAGGACCCUAGGCUGGGGCUGAAAUGGAAGUGGCACAUGUAGGAGGGACUGGGGGGUGAGAAACUCCAAGCCUUGGGGCAAUGGAAAGGAGUAUGAGUGAUUUUCAGGGCCAGCAGAGGGUUUUCCUUGGCUUCUUGCAGCUUCUGGGAUCAGGCAAGGAAGGGGAGCUCUGCCCUGUGGGCCAGGUGGGGAGAGGAGAGGGUGGCAGCCAUGCCUGAGACAGAGGACCGCAGUUUGUUGACUUGCUCAGAGCAUACCUGUUGGUACUGAGGGGUCCAGUCUGCAAGGAGGUAUGGCUGUCUCAAGCAUCCCAUUUCCCUGUGCUUUUAGUUCCAAGCCCCCCUUUGAGGUGCUAUGGUGGUAAAUUCAGGUUUUAUGGAGCCUGAAGCUUGUAGAAUUUUGAGAGCCCUCAUAAAGAAAAGAGGAAAAAAAUCUUCUUUUUGCAAAUUUUAUGAAAAUAUAUGACCGUGUGAACACCUUGCUAGGGCUUAAGUUUAAUUAACUUCACAUAAAUCUGCCUUUAUCUAUGAUCCUUGGGGUCUACACACUUGCAAGAUGUGUAGUGACUUGAAGAUUUUUAUGAACCUCAUGCAGCCAACAAACCCCAUGGCAGACAGGUAAAGCAGCAUCUCUAGCCUGCUGCUCACUAAGUUGUACACAUUUGCUCAAGAUUUAUGUAAACUAACAGCCAUUUAUUGAGUGUUUACUUUGUGCUAUCACUGUUAGCACUGCUAGUGCUUUGUUGCUUUAUGCUCUAGCACAGCAUGGCAUAAUUUCUUAUGUUUUCCCUCCCCAAAAUAAUGAUAACAUAGCCAGGCACUUUGGAUGACAGAGAGUGAGAUGGAAGAACACUUUCUUAAGGGCCUAUGAAUUUGCCGUUGCAAACUUUGCCAUUCGUGGGCGGGCGGGGGAGUGGGGGGUGCUGUUAUCUUUUCUUUAUGAGAUCUUGGUGUCCUGUGACAGUGUCCAUGGUGGCACCAGAAUGUUCCUGGCUUUCUUGGAUAUCCUGGCACCUGGGUCUCCCCCCACAACUGGUAUCAGUGGCUACAAACACCAAAGAUUACAUAGAUCCUUCUCCCUAACUAGGGCAGCUCAUAAGAAUCAUCUGAGGCCCUUGAUAAAGAUGCAGAUUUCUGGAGACUUCCUGACUUCCUACCAUAGACUUCCUGAAACAGAAGCUCCAGAGAUGGGGCAUGUGAAUUUGUAUUUUUAAGUGCUUCUUAAAGUACUUAAGGUGUUUCUUAAAAUCAGGUAACCUUGAGCAUCACUGAACCCAAGGACAGGUGAAACACAUUCUAAGGUAAUAAGUGGGUUUUCUCUGGGUGAACAAAUAGAUAGGAAAGUAGAGGGGGCAUAAUAUUUCUGAUGAUGUGUGGUUGGAAGAAAAUUUUAAAAAGUAACAUAGUUGUGCAUUUAUUGUGUGCCAGUAACUGUGCUAAGCAUUGUAUGAAUCUUUUAUUUAAAGUUCCCCACAAAUGUUUGAGGCAGAACCAUUUGCCUCCCUUUUACAGAUGGGAACACAGGUUCAGAGAUGUUAAGUAAUUUGCCCAAGUCAUGUAGCUAGUAAAGGAUGGAGUCCAGAUUUGAACCCUGGCAGCAGGUGUUGGAGCUCGUACUCUUUCUGCUGUUAUACAGACCGAAAUAUAUAUUGCCUAAUCCUAGAGAAACUACAGUGCCCAAUAUUGGGGUUAGGAGGAGAGCCCAGAAUACUCCCCCAACUGCAAUGAAAGCCACCCCCUAAAGGUAGUGCUGGUGCACUUCAACAUCCAGGACACUGGGGCUGCUAUAGUGGUCAAAGGCAGUGACAUGGAGGCUCAUUUGGCUGUGCCUUGGGUGUGGGACACUGGGGUUCCCUGAGCAGUCAGCCGCACUGAUGCCUGUGGCCACAUAGGAGGCAGUGGCCCUGGCUGAGAGAGGCACCUGUGGGCAGUGACAAGGAUGACGAUGUGUUCAGACCCAUUUGGUGGGAAGGGUGGUUAAUGGUGUGGUACAGUGCCUAAGAGUGUGGGAUUGAGAGUCAGACAGCCUAGGGCUGAUCCAGCUACUGACUUGAUCCCUUGUUCAUAGAGUGACCAUGUUUGUUUUCUAUGGAUGCCAUAACAGAUUACUAUAAACUUUUAGCAAUCUAGAAUAACACCCGUUUACUAUUUCACAGCCCUGUGGGUCAAAGUUUAGGUAAACUGUGGCUCAGUAGCAUCCUCUACUCAGGGCCUCCCAAGACUGAAAUCAAGAUGUUGGCUGGAAUGGGCUCUUCCAGGCUCUGGGGAAGAUUACACUUCCAAGCUUAUUCAGGAUGUUGGCUGAAUUCAGUUCCUUGCCAUUGUAGGACUGAGGUCCUUAUUUACUUAACCUGUGACUCCCUUCAUUUUCAGAUAAAAAAAGGCCUAUCAAAUCCUUCUCAUUCUUUGAAUCUUGACUUCUUCUUCUGCAAACAGCCAGAGAAAAAUUUGUGCUUUGAAGGGCUCAUUUGAUUACCUUAGGCUCACUGGAUGCUCCAGGAUAAUCUCCCUAGUUUAAGGUCAAGUGAUUAGUAACCUUAAGUAUAUCUAUCAUGUAAUUAUGUAACAAUGCAGAUAACACUUUCACAGGAGUAACACCAGGAAGCAGAGGUCAUGGGGCCAAAAUUCUGCCUACCACAGUGACCUUGGGCAAGAUCUCUUGGAUUUAGUGGCCUAAAAAACACCAAUUUUGUAGAUGGGUGAUAUUUACAGAAACCAAGAUUUUUUUAUCUUGCUCUUCUAGAAGGAGUUACAUAUUAGUCUGAAAUUCUGUGUUCCAUUCAAAGGCAGCAUAUAUUUUCCAAAUGAUGACUUGAAAGCUAAGAAUGAGCUAAAAUAAUUUCUUUUGGAAAGUUGCUAAAAUAAUUUAUAGAAGCAGCAUGCAUCAUUUAUCCUUCCCAUCCUCCACCCACCCUCCCACCUCCUCACUCACCAUGUUGAUUUGAACAUUUUCUAAAAUCCUUUUCAUUAAAUUCUGGAGUAUAAAGCUAAUGGACACCAUUAAGGUAGUGAUAAUGCCAGACUGCACUUUGGUGGCUUUUUUUUUUUUUCCCCAGAAAAAGCAUACCUCCAAGCAAUGCCAAUUAUAAAGAGUAUUUGAACCACUGUCUAAUUUGAAGAAAAUGAAUACCUUGAGAAAUAACAUGGAUACCUUAUAAUUUUUCAGUCAAAAACUGUCAAACAGAAGUUUUCACAUACUGCAAUUUUUUCGUAGUAAUUCACUCAAAAGUAUUUCUUUUAUUUCUUUUCCAUUGUGCCCUUUGCAAAAGCUUGUUGAGAUUCACUCUCUCCUGUGAGUUAUUGGAAGUGGAUGUGGUCUUUCAUUCUGCAUACUCUCCAAAGAACAUUUUGGCAUUGAACAAUGAAAAUGAAGAUGGAAAAAUGAGAAACUAAAUGUAGUUCCAUUUUCUAAGAUUCAAAUGAACCAUAUUUUAAGGUUGGCAGCCUUCAUAUGCAUGCUACUUCUUGGUAGCACAAAGAGAACAAACAAGAACCUUAAUUUUUUCUGAGUACAAAACAAUGGAAGAAAAUCUAUUUUCAAUUAGCUCGGACACAUAUGAAUGAUGAGAGCAAUGCAGGCUGUGUAUUUUAUUUGCAUUGUUUUUCCAGUUGCACAAGGAUAAUGACCUUGAAUUCAGUAUAAUGGAUGAGAGUUUCAAUCAACUUUUAUAUGGAUAAUCGAAUAAUUUGAAAAUUUAGCCAAACAAGAUAAUCCAUAGUAUGCUACCCAGGACCGUGUGGUCUGACAGUUUUGUGCAACCCAGUAAAGGGCAAGUAGAUAGUGGUAACAGACCUAUGUUCUGGUGUCACUUCUGCACAGUGAUCCCACUUGCACUGAGUGUUUUAUUUUUAUGUGAAUUGAAGUUAUUCAUAUUUCUAUGUGCUCAUUUUAGAAAAAUUAGAAAAUAUAGAUAAGCAAAAAAGAAGGAAAAAAUAAUUCCACCUCACAGAUGGCCUCUUUUCCUCAUGAUAUAUAUGUAUCAUACAUAUAUAUGUCUUUCUAGAUGUUUAAAAAUGCAUAUGUAGAUAAAUUAAGCUAUACACUAUGUCAUAUACAUACGUUGUGUCUCCAGCUAGUAGCUGCUGUCUCUUGUGGCAAUGUUUACUAUGGUUGCUGAUUAUAAUCACAAUUCCAGAAAUUCUUGGUGUGACCAUUUGAGUCAGGAGCUCCAGGGAUCUUUGUGGUCAUCUAGCAUUUCAGCAUUUUCCAGAAGGCUAACAGUGCAGUGAAUGGGUCAGAGGCUAAAAGAGAGCUAAACUCUAAUUACAGGUUCAUGAUAGUAUUUUUGGAUUUCCCCAUUCAGAGCUCUAGGGAUCUGUCUUUUGCUACAACUUGAUUCCAUGGGGCUUUCAAAAGUACCUCCAUUUAAUUCUUAAAUCCUUGGAGGCUGAUGAGCAUCAUUGAUGGAAAAACAGACAGAUAUUUGUUAAGUCACUUUAAAACUUUGGCCAAAACCAGACUUGACCCCCUUAAUUCCAGGUCCACAGUAUCUCCUGUUACUUUGCUCCACCUUACUGCCCCAGGAAAGGGGACACUGUCCAAAUGUUUGCAUGCUUUAUGAAACCAAGGAAACCUACUCUGAAGUGAAUAAAACUCCAAUGAUUGCAUCCUAGCAUUUCUCCCAGAAAAUGUUUACCUUUCUUGAAUAGUGCCCAACCAUAUUUUGAAAGCAAAUCUUACAAAAAAAUCCUGUACAACUCAAACAUAAAAAUAUCUUCAGCAAAUCUCUUUAAAUAUUUAUAUUUUAAAGAGAAUGAAUGUAUGAGUUAUAAACAAAAAGUAUUUCACACAAGAAAUACAAUAGUGCUUAAACUGUUAAAUGAGGGGAGUGUUGCCCUUUGAAGGGGUUGCUAUGAAAGGAUUUGUUCUUGUUGCUAUGAGGCUGUUGUUUUAUCAACUAAUUUUGAAACUCAUCAUCGCUUCAGGAUUAGUUUAUAAGGUACACAGGAAAAUACCCCCAUUACCUCACAGUCUCUCUCCCUGGUAUUUGAGCAAACCCAAAUAUAUUAUCCAACUUGAACACCGAUUUCAAUGGGCUCCAAAUAAUGGUUGUAUCCUAAAAACAAAACAAAAUAAGAACAACUCUUCCAUGAUGGUGAUUUGCUACCACAGAGGCUGUUCAAAGCAUUGUGUACCAGGCCCUGAAGAUAAUUCUGAAAGAGAAGCUCCAAAAAGGGUCUGAGCAAAUGCAGCACUGCUCAUGAGGGUAGUGAAGAUACGUUCCAAGCUGACUACUUUGAAGGAGAGAAAAAAAUCAUUCAAAUGUUGAGUUCUGGCAUGUUGCUCAAACAAGGAAUUUCUGUUUACCUUGUGUGUUGAUCUAGUCUAUAAGAUUUCUGUAUUAUUCAUAAUAGUCAUCAUCUUUUUCACCUGCUAAAUCAACAAUGAGAAUUUCUUUGCCACUAGAAAAUAUGUAUGAGGAGCAACUCUUUUGAAAAGAUCAUAAGGGUUGCAUAAUUGAAUAACAGGGUUGUAUUGGAGCAAUAAAAUUUCUGCUGUUUAGUUAAAUAAUCUGCUUUUUCUGUGUAAACAUUAAAAGCUUAUAAAUGACGUACAUGUAGAGAGCCAAAAGUCAAUCUAUCUUUAAUCUUUCUAGUCACUGUUAAUAGUCCUGCAGUCCCAUAAGAGAAGGGAAAGAUACAAAGGCAUGCAGAAAUAGAGUGGAGAGGUAUAUAAUAUGUAAUGGUGUAUAUAUAUAAAUAUAUAAUAUAAAUGUGUAAUAAUAUAAUAAAA